UAGGUUCAAUAAUCCCCUAGAUUGUUAAAUGAAUAAGGGAUCAGAGCCUUCUUAUUAGCUCUAAUCUCUCUCUCUCUCUUUUUUUUUUUUUUUUUUUUGACAGUAAAUUUGUAGGCCAGGUAUUUGGCAUAAUUCAGACCCAAUUAUAGCAUGGUAAUACUACUGUACUUUAUUUUUAAUGCUUUAGUGUAAUUUACAAUUAAGACAACAUUCCUUUGGAUGAUGAUACAUAGUUCUUACAGAGAAAUUUAGUCCUACAUAUAAAAAAAGGCUAAAACAAAACAGGAAUCUGAAGAGUGUUUAAGUAUCCAUUUUAACCAUCUAUAUGUUCUGUAUUUAUGUGCCAUUGAGAACUAUAUAUAUUGAAAUCCAUAUAUAUUGUAUGGAUUUGGUUUAGGUUCAAAUACUGACAGGUAUGAAAAGUCAUGCAGAAAUUAAUGAGAGUUAAAAAAUAACAUCACUGUAGCCCACACAAGUCUAUCGAGCAUAUCUAAAAUAAAGCUGUAAUUUCCAGUGUAAUUUCCACCUCUAAAUAUACUCCUUUCUAGAGAGAAAUUAAAUAAAAUAUAAAAAAAUACUAUGCCAAUUUGAAAAUUUUCUAGCUAUAAUCUGGAUUACAAAUCAGGAUGAUAAUUUAUGAAUUUAGGCACUUGCUGUUUCUUAAGGAAGGCAAUUUCCUUUUUUUUCUUUGCUCAUCAUGUAAGUGGUCACUUCCCACUAUGAGUUCUCUAAUUAGGAAUUUAAGGGUGAACAGAUUCUGUUCUUUCGCUGACAAUUUCAAUUCCUCUUCUAAUGUGCAGAGCUUCUCAGUAUUCCCCUUAGGGCCAGGAAGUCUGCAGGAGUUCCGGAGCCCCCUUCUCCCAUUUAACAGUGCAAUUCUUACAGCUUCAUGCACCAUUUAUGUGGCUUUCCUGUAUGAGACAUCCUUUGGCUAUUCAAUAAGCUUCUUUUCCCAUAAAGACAAAAGUUACCUUUUUCAAUACAAGUCAAAGCUUCUGCAUUAGAAAGAUAAAUCAACAGAAAGAAAAGGAAUUAAAGUAUUAAAUAAACAGAAUCCACUAAAUUAAAGAUAUUUUUUUCCAAGGAGGCUGUGAAUGAAACUUGGCUCCAGCAGGUGGUAGAGGAACUGCUGGCAGUGAAGUACUUUUGAGGGAAGGUAUGGUCCAGGUUGCUUGUUGAAUACAAAAUACCAAUGUCAGUCAAUUCAGCCUUGAAGCUCAGGUGGAAAUGAAUGAUUCAGUAGAGAUUUUAGAAAUGGAAUAGGGAUGUGUGUGUAUAUAUAUAUAUAUAUAUAUAUAAUUAUUUUUUGUCUUUACAGGCUGUUAUUAUGAGACUCUCUGGUCAAAGUGCAGGCUUUAAAGCAUUGUGAAGUAUUAUAGCUGAGACAUGCUUCUCAGAAGCUCCUAUUGCAUCUCUCUUCUGAACCAUAGUUAGACUUAGCUGUUCUUUGUUCCAUCAGAAGUAGCUAUAUUUCACCCUAGCAACUAAUAUGUUUCAUUACUAAUUACAGACUCCAGGAGCUGUUUUGUUUAAGUUAGCUAGUUUCAGAAGUCCUUAUUCUGGUAAAAGUCCCAUGGACGACAAAAACACUAUGCUACCUCUGGUAAAGAAAAGCUCAGCACUGAAAGUAGCAUGCCUGUGGAACUUAGAUUCCUGAAUCCACAAUUUUAAUUAAGAAGUUUACUAACUCAGCUAGUAACUUUAGGGCCUUCCAGGGAAGUUUUCUGGCAGGGGGAAUUCCUCUUCUGUGUGUGCCUUUAAGUGACCCUAUUGUUUACUUCCCAGUCCAUGGUUCUUUCCUAACUUUAACUGGGAUCCAAAUCCAAAUAUGAUUUCAGAUGACUUUCCCCAUCCCUAAAUCAAUAAGGUUUCCUUAAUUAUAUCCUGAUAAGAUCAGGUGUCUUGAUCUGCUGCUAUUUCUGUUUAAGAAAAAGGAUGAGGUAAUGACUCUGUCUUCUCAUGGUGAUGCCCAGCGAUUAAAUAUUUUACCAAGAAAAUACGUUCUAGAGGGAAGACCUUUUCAGAGCUAAAGGGGUUUUUACCUAUUUCUU